AACCUUAUGGACCUGCGGGCGUAUACCUGCGGAAGGAUCAUUAAAUAAAUAAGAAGUAAUUAGGCUCGUCCUGUUACUAUCUAUUUUACUGUGAACUGUUUUAUUUUGCAGCGUUUGAGGGAUGUUCUUGUGCUAUAUGGGUAGGCAUAAGAAAUGUUAACCGAGCUGUAAUCAGGCCUAGGCUUGGUACCCUGUUUAUAUACUUUCAAUUGAUCAGAUUUUAAAAUGUAACAUAGAGUA
rnacentral:misc_RNA from 1 species